UCAGCCUCCAGCAGUGAGAGAGGAAGUGAAGGACUGAGACGUGGCGAGCUCCCUGGGGGAAAGCGCACGCUGGAGAGCACCAAUUAUCAUAAUUGAAGGUCUCUGGGGGUGUUCAUACAGCCUUCAAGAGUGCCUCAUUCUGGGAACAAGUAAAAAUCAAGCUUUUAUUCAACACAGACUCCCAUCAAUCGAAAAGAGGUGGUCAUGGAAGGAAAACACCAUGGUGCUUCUUUUUUAUUUUUCAGAUUCAUUUUUAUUUUUAAUUAUGGGCCUGUGGUAUGUGCACAUGAGUGCAGGUGCCUGUGGAAGCCAGAAGAAGGUGUCCAAUCUCCUGGAGUUGGAGUUACAGGCAGUUGUGUGGACCCAGUAUGGGUGCUGGAUAUUGAACACAGUUCUUCUGCAAGAACAGUGUUGUGUUCUAUAGCUGGUUCUUUUUCAUGGACCACAAAUGGGAAACUCCAAUCAAAAGAACCUGAAUAUAAUUUCACCAUGCAGACUGAAAACAAGGAGAUCAACCAUGAUAUC
rnacentral:lncRNA from 1 species